AGUGAACGCUGGCGGUAGGCCUAACACAUGCAAGUCGAACGGCAGCACAGGAGAGCUUGCUCUCUGGGUGGCGAGUGGCGGACGGGUGAGGAAUACAUCGGAAUCUACUCUGUCGUGGGGGAUAACGUAGGGAAACUUACGCUAAUACCGCAUACGACCUACGGGUGAAAGCAGGGGAUCUUCGGACCUUGCGCGAUUGAAUGAGCCGAUGUCGGAUUAGCUAGUUGGCGGGGUAAAGGCCCACCAAGGCGACGAUCCGUAGCUGGUCUGAGAGGAUGAUCAGCCACGCUGGAACUGAGACACGGUCCAGACUCCUACGGGAGGCAGCAGUGGGGAAUAUUGGACAAUGGGCGCAAGCCUGAUUCAGCCAUACCGCGUGGGUGAAGAAGGCCUUCGGGUUGUAAAGCCCUUUUGUAGGGAAAGAGAUCCAGAUGGUUAAUACCCGGUUGGGAUGACGGUACCCAAAGAAUAAGCACCGGCUAACUUCGUGCCAGCCGCCGCGGUAA
rnacentral:rRNA from 1 species